GACGAGCGCUGGCGGCGUGCCUAAUACAUGCAAGUAGAACGCUGAAGGAGGAGCUUGCUUCUCUGGAUGAGUUGCGAACGGGUGAGUAACGCGUAGGUAACCUGCCUGGUAGCGGGGGAUAACUAUUGGAAACGAUAGCUAAUACCGCAUAAUAGUAGAUGUUGCAUGACAUUUGCUUAAAAGGUGCAAUUGCAUCACUACCAGAUGGACCUGCGUUGUAUUAGCUAGUUGGUGGGGUAACGGCUCACCAAGGCGACGAUACAUAGCCGACCUGAGAGGGGGAUCGGCCACCCUGGGACUGAGACACGGCCCAGACUCCUACGGGAGGAAGCAGUAGGGAAUCGUCGGCAAUGGACGGAAGUCUGACCGAGCAACGCCGCGUGAGUGAAGAAGGUUUUCGGAUCGUAAAGCUCUGUUGUAAGAGAAGAACGAGUGUGAGAGUGGAAAGUUCACACUGUGACGGUAUCUUACCAGAAAGGGACGGCUAACUACGUG
rnacentral:rRNA from 1 species